rnacentral:sRNA from 1 species
AUGUACUACAAAACUCCUCUUUCUCAAUUGCCAGUAGGGGGGAGGUUAACUCAUUUUCUAAAAAAAUGGAUAAGUAUUACCUCAGAUUGUUGGGUUCUGUCAGUAAUUCGAGGGGGAUUGACUCUUCAAUUCAAAGAACAACCACCUCUUUCUCCUGUUCCUAUCCCACUGUCCAAUACUCAAGAUCCACAGAAGUUUCUUCUUCUGUCAACAGAAGUAGAGACUCUUUUGACAAAGAGGGCAGUGGAGGAAGUCCCUGUAUCUUCAAUAGAUCCAGGUUUCUAUUCUCGUCUCUUCCUUGUAUCGAAGAAGACCGGAGGAAUGAGACCAGUCAUCGAUUUGUCUAUCCUCAAUUCUUAUAUGAUUAUUUCCCAUUUCAAAAUGGAGACCAAUCGUUCAAUAAGAGCUUCUAUUCUUCCAGGUAUGUGGACAACAUCCCUGGAUCUGACGGACGCUUAUUUUCAUGUUCCAGUUUGCCAUUCAUACCGCAAAUUCCUUCGGUUUGUUUGGAACAAAAGGGUUUACCAAUUCAGGGCUCUCCCUUUUGGUCUGUCAACUGCACCACUAGCCUUUACCAAACUCAUGCAGGUAGCAAUUGCUCACCUUCAUUCACAGGCUAUUCAGAUUCAUUCUUACCUGGACGACUCACUGAUCAAGGAACUUUCUCCCGAGAAACUCUAUCUCAAUACCGAUGUAGUCAUCAGAUUGCUGCUCUCUCUGGGGUUUCUCAUUUCUUGGAAAAAGUCGGACCUCAUUCCGUCUCAGGACUUUAUUUUCCUAGGCGAACAUUACCUUACUCGUCAGUGCAUAGUUCGACCUCCUCAGGAAAAGUUUCAGAAUCUUUGUUCAAAAAUUCAUCUGUUUCUAUCUCAAAAAACAGUUACUGCUCGCCAGUUUUCACAACUGCUAGGUCUCUUGAAUUCACUAGCGGAUGUUGUUCCACUUGGUCGCCUUCACAUUCGACCUCUUCAAUUUUAUCUACAUCAACAUUGGCUCCCAGCUACACAGGAUUGGGAAUUUCCAGUUCCAAUCAUUCAUCAGGAAUUGUUUCCUCAUUUGGUUUGGUGGACUUCUCAAGCAAACGUUUUGAGAGGCCAACUUCUGUCCUCUCCAGUUCCAAAUCAGACUCUGUUCACAGAUGCCUCCAACCUCGGUUGGGGAGCUUAUCUGGAAGGUCUUUCAGUGUCAGGAGUGUGGACUCCAGAUCUUUUGAAGGAACACAUCAACAUACUAGAAAUGAAGGCAGUUCUUCUUGCACUGUCUCAUUUUCAGUCCCUACUGCAGAACAAAUCUCUGGUUCUAGCAACGGACAACACCACUGUGGUGGCUUAUUUGCGAAACCAAGGGGGAACUCAUUGUUACGAGCUGUAUCUUUUAGCAAGAGAAAUCCUCCUUCUUUGCAAUCACCUUCAUCUACAGAUUGUAGUUCGUCAUGUCCCAGGGAAACUCAAUGUGUUAGCAGAUGCUCUGUCAAGAACACUUACCCCAGUCAAUACAGAGUGGGAACUUCUCCAAUCAGUAUUUCAGGCAAUAACACUUCAGUGGGGGUCUCCUCAUGUAGACCUGUUUGCAACAAGCCUCAAUUACAAAGUUCAAGUGUUCAUGUCUCCUGUACCAGAUCCGAAAGCUUACGCAGUAGACUGCAUGAGUGUUCCUUGGGACGGGAUGUUCGCUUACGCCUUCCCACCGUUCAGAUUUCUGUCACAAGUUCUUCGGAAGAUCUCAGCAGAGCAAGGGUUGAUCAUUCUUAUUGCUCCAGCUUGGCCCAAACAAGCCUGGUUUCCAGAUCUUCUUCAUCUGUCUUGUGCUCGUCCACUGGUUCUACCAGUACGACACAAUCUUCUGUCCCAGUUCAAGGGCAAGAUACUUCAUCCCAAUCCAGAGAAGCUACAUCUGUUCGCGUGGCUUCUCUCAGGGAUAGCUUCAAGGAGAGAGGUUUUUCUGAAUGCGCAGCCAGACAUCUCUCCAGAGCAGUUAGAGAUUCCACUAACAUCGUCUAUGAUGCCAAGUGGACUAUCUUCAGUAGUUGGUGUAGUGAGAAGGAAAUUGAUCCUUUCCAAAUUUCUGUACAACAACUAGCAGACUUUCUGAUCCACCUUUUUGAAGAGAAAGGAUUAUCUCCCUCUACUAUUAAAGGCUAUAGAUCAGCUAUUUCUAGGACGAUUCAACUGUCUGGAGGUCCAGACUUUGGUAAUAAUGAAUUCAUUUCUCUUUUAGUUAAGAAUUUCACUCUUGAACGCCCUAGACAGAGAGUUUUAAUCCCGUCUUGGAAUUUGAGUCUUGUUUUAUCAGCUUUAAAAACCAUCCUUUUGAACCUGCUGAAAAGGUUGAAAUCAAGUUUUUAUCGUAUAAGUGUUGUUUCCUUCUUGCCUUGGCCUCUGGUAGAAGAAGAAGUGAAAUUCAUGCUUUUUCCACUGCUGAUUACUGCCUUCGUUUUAAUAGGGAUAAGUCAUCUGUUACCCUAUUAACGGAUCCAGCUUUUUUAGCCAAAAAUCAAAUUCCGGGUAGAGGUUCAGAACCGAUAGUGAUUCCAGCCCUUCCUGAUGAUUCAAGUUCUAAAGUACUCUGUCCUAUCCGAGUCUUACUUUUAUAUCUUCAGAGAACUCGAAGUCUCCGCACCUCCUCAAAUUCCAGGUUAUUUAUUCCUAUUAACAAAGGAAAACAAGAUUUGUCUGCUAAAACCAUUUCAACUUGGAUCUGUAAAACUAUUCAAUUAGCUUACAGUUUUUCUAAUGAAGAACUUCUGAAUAGUAUGCAUGUUAAAGCCCAUGAUGUUAGAGCUAUUUCUACCUCCUGGGCCCUGUUUAAUAAUGCUUCUUUAGAGGAAGUCUUAUCUGCAGGUUUCUGGAGAACUGAAAAUUCUUUCAUUUCUCACUAUCUGCAGUCUUUAGCUACUCAAGCUCAGAGUUUGUACUCCUUAGGACCUUUAGUUUCCGCACAAAGAGUUGUUUUUCCUCCUGCAUCUUCUGGUUCAGGGGAUUCAGCUUUGUGUUAG